GGGUAUCCUCUCCUUGUCUCACCAGUAUUUUAGAUAUUUAGUAAUUUCUUUUCAACUUCCAUCAUCUUAUUUUCUGAAUGGUUUCUUCUACUGCUCCACAAAACACUGGAUUGUGUCUCAUAACAAGCAACUUUUGCUUUUCCAUCUCAUAAAUAAAUAAAGUAAUGAGCACAUUGAUCAGCUAAUUUGUUUUAAGGAUUGUCAUGUAGCAAUUGCUGUUGCAGGUAAAAAGCGAUGUUCAUGGCAAUUCACUGCAGGUGUCUUCUGUUUCCUCCAAUUUUUCCAUGUUGAUACUUGUUAUGCUUGUGGUGUAGAGGGUUGGGGCUGGGGGUAAAGGAUACAUUUUACAUAUACAUUGAAUGCUGAUUUUAUCUCCACGUCGCAAUCACUUGAAUUUCUAUAGUGCUUAAUAGGUAAAGAUUUGAUUCACGGUGGCGUUACUUUUUUUUUUUUCAAAAGUGUGUUGUUUUUAGCCUUAAAAUAGUGAUUGGUGAAGGGGGAAAUGUAUCUUCUGAAUUACUCCACAAAAUUGGUUUACAAAAUAACUCUAGGGAUUUCUUUUCCUUCCUCUUUGCUUUUGGGGGUGAUGGGGGUUGGGGAGUUUGCCAUAGUUCCUGGCAAUUUUAAACCUUAAAAGUAGAAGUGUUUCUAUCCUAGUCUUAGUUGCACGGACUCUUCACUGUUGAUGCUGCACGGGUUCUUCAAAAAUACACUACUUUUGACAAAUCCGACAUGCAUCCGUUGGCUUUUUUGAAGAGUCCGAGCAACAUAGAUCGUAGUUGAUCUCUUUAACAUUAUUUGACCCAUAGAGAGGAAGGGUAAGUGUUCCUAUCCUAGUUGAUCUCUUAAACAUUAUUGACCCAUAGAGAGGAAGUGGAAGUGCUUCUAUCCUAGUUUGAUCUCUUUAACAUUAUCUUGUAACAUUCAUGAAGUGGGUGGAAUCCAAACAAGAAUGCCAUGUAGCUUUGAUGUUUUCCAUCCAGGGGCUGAUGAGCAGGUUGUUCUCUUGGCAUUUGAAGUUGAAGUCUUGUCAAGACGAAUGCUGGUCAGAUAUACGCAGAAGAAUUGUUUCUACUGAUGUUUUAUAGAAUGAUGAAUGGUGAAGGUGCAUAUUAAGACAUUUCUGUCCAUGAGAACGACGUCUAGUGCUUUGUCAUCAUUGAGUAGCCAUCUUACAUAUUCUAACCCAGCUCGACUACUCCAACUCGGUUGAGUUGAUCCUCUCUGCUUUGCUUUCAACAAUUUGAAAUGGGUAGAAGAAUGAAAUGCCAUGCCCCCACCGGGACGUAGAAGAAACUAACUAUUGACAAUUGCAGAAGCAGGCAGGGAAGACUGGGAAUAAGCUUGGCUUUUGUAUCUAUCUGUUCAUAUCUCUAACAUUGUGUUGUUCUUUUAGGUUAAUAUGAAAGGAGGGUCAUUAACUAGUAUUAACAAGGACUAAAUAUGCUUGGUACAUGAAUUUAGAAGAAUUGUUAACUCAGCCAGUCUAAAAUACAUGCACUUGAUAUUUUAUGGAACUUAUUGGAUUUGAAAUG
rnacentral:misc_RNA from 1 species